rnacentral:rRNA from 1 species
CUGGACGAACGCUGGCGGCGUGCUUAACACAUGCAAGUCGAACGGAAAGGCCCUGCUUUUGUGGGGUGCUCGAGUGGCGAACGGGUGAGUAACACGUGAGUAACCUGCCCUUGACUUUGGGAUAACUUCAGGAAACUGGGGCUAAUACCGAAUAGGAGCUCCUGCUGCAUGGUGGGGGUUGGAAAGUUUCGGCGGUUGGGGAUGGACUCGCGGCUUAUCAGCUUGUUGGUGGGGUAGUGGCUUACCAAGGCUUUGACGGGUAGCCGGCCUGAGAGGGUGACCGGCCACAUUGGGACUGAGAUACGGCCCAGACUCCUACGGGAGGCAGCAGUGGGGAAUAUUGCACAAUGGGCGGAAGCCUGAUGCAGCAACGCCGCGUGCGGGAUGACGGCCUUCGGGUUGUAAACCGCUUUCGCCUGUGACGAAGCGUGAGUGACGGUAAUGGGUAAAGAAGCACCGGCUAACUACGUGCCAGCAGCCGCGGUGAUACGUAGGGUGCGAGCGUUGUCCGGAUUUAUUGGGCGUAAAGGGCUCGUAGGUGGUUGAUCGCGUCGGAAGUGUAAUCUUGGGGCUUAACCCUGAGCGUGCUUUCGAUACGGGUUGACUUGAGGAAGGUAGGGGAGAAUGGAAUUCCUGGUGGAGCGGUGGAAUGCGCAGAUAUCAGGAGGAACACCAGUGGCGAAGGCGGUUCUCUGGGCCUUUCCUGACGCUGAGGAGCGAAAGCGUGGGGAGCGAACAGGCUUAGAUACCCUGGUAGUCCACGCUGUAAACGGUGGGUACUAGGUGUGGGGUCCAUUCCACGGGUUCCGUGCCGUAGCUAACGCUUUAAGUACCCCGCCUGGGGAGUACGGCCGCAAGGCUAAAACUCAAAGGAAUUGACGGGGCCCCGCACAAGCGGCGGAGCAUGCGGAUUAAUUCGAUGCAACGCGUAGAACCUUACCUGGGUUUGACAUGGAUCGGGAGUGCUCAGAGAUGGGUGUGCCUCUUUUGGGGUCGGUUCACAGGUGGUGCAUGGCUGUCGUCAGCUCGUGUCGUGAGAUGUUGGGUUAAGUCCCGCAACGAGCGCAACCCUUGUUCACUGUUGCCAGCACGUUAUGGUGGGGACUCAGUGGAGACCGCCGGGGUCAACUCGGAGGAAGGUGGGGAUGACGUCAAGUCAUCAUGCCCCUUAUGUCCAGGGCUUCACGCAUGCUACAAUGGCUGGUACAGAGAGUGGCGAGCCUGUGAGGGUGAGCGAAUCUCGGAAAGCCGGUUUCAGUUCGGAUUGGGGUUUGCAACUCGACCUCAUGAAGUCGGAGUCGCUAGUAAUCGCAGAUCAGCAACGCUGCGGUGAAUACGUUCCCGGGGCUUGUACACACCGCCCGUCAAGUCAUGAAAGUUGGUAACACCCGAAGCCGGUGGCCUAACCGUUGUGGGGGAGCCGUCGAAGGUGGG